UACGUAGGGUGCAAGCGUUGUCCGGAAUUAUUGGGCGUAAAGAGCUCGUAGGCGGUCUGUCGCGUCGGCUGUGAAAACUCGGGGCUCAACCCCGAGCCUGCAGUCGAUACGGGCAGACUAGAGUGCGGUAAGGGGAGACUGGAAUUCCUGGUGUAGCGGUGAAAUGCGCAGAUAUCAGGAAGAACACCCGUGGCUAAGGCGGCUCUCUAGUACGGUACUGACGCUGAGACGCGAAAAGCGUGGGGGAGCGAAACAGG
rnacentral:rRNA from 1 species